UGUUUUGAAUGCUUUGGAAGAGCUUUGAUUUUGUUGUUGUGGGUUCAUUCAGACAACAAGACACAGCCUUCCAUAAUAUUCAAGAUC